rnacentral:rRNA from 1 species
CCCCAGUAAACGGCGGCCGUAACUAUAACGGUCCUAAGGUAGCGAAAUUCCUUGUCGGGUAAGUUCCGACCCGCACGAAAGGCGUAACGAUUUGGGCACUGUCUCAACGAGAGACUCGGUGAAAUCAUAGUACCGGUGAAGAUGCCGGUUACCCGCGACAGGACGGAAAGACCCCGUGGAGCUUUACUGUAGCCUGAUAUUGAAAUUCGGUACAGUUUGUACAGGAUAGGUAGGAGCCUUAGAAGCGUGAGCGCUAGCUUACGUGGAGGCAUUGGUGGGAUACUACCCUAAUUGUAUUGGAUUUCUAACCCGCAGCACUUAUCGUGCUGGGAGACAGUGUCAGGCGGGCAGUUUGACUGGGGCGGUCGCCUCCUAAAGAGUAACGGAGGCGCUCAAAGGUUCCCUCAGAAUGGUUGGAAAUCAUUCAUAGAGUGUAAAGGCAUAAGGGAGCUUGACUGCGAGACCUACAAGUCGAGCAGGGUCGAAAGACGGACUUAGUGAUCCGGUGGUUCCGCAUGGAAGGGCCAUCGCUCAACGGAUAAAAGCUACCCCGGGGAUAACAGGCUUAUCUCCCCCAAGAGUUCACAUCGACGGGGAGGUUUGGCACCUCGAUGUCGGCUCAUCGCAUCCUGGGGCUGUAGUCGGUCCCAAGGGUUGGGCUGUUCGCCCAUUAAAGCGGUACGCGAGCUGGGUUCAGAACGUCGUGAGACAGUUCGGUCCCUAUCCGUCGUGGGCGUAGGAAAUUUGAGAGGAGCUGUCCUUAGUACGAGAGGACCGGGAUGGACAUACCUCUGGUGUACCAGUUGUCGUGCCAACGGCAUAGCUGGGUAGCUAUGUAUGGACGGGAUAAGUGCUGAAAGCAUCUAAGCAUGAAGCCCCCCUCGAGAUGAGAUUUCCCAACUUCGGUUAUAAGAUCCCUCAAAGAUGAUGAGGUGAAU